rnacentral:rRNA from 1 species
GAGGAAUAAGCAUCGGCUAACUCCGUGCCAGCAGCCGCGGUAAUACGGGGGAUGCAAGCGUUAUCCGGAAUGAUUGGGCGUAAAGCGCCUGUAGGUUGUUUAUUAAGUCCGUUGUUAAAGCCUAGGGCUUAACCCUAGAAAAGCAAUGGAAACUAGUAGACUAGAGUAUGGCAGGGGUAGAGGGAAUUUCUAGUGUAGCGGUGAAAUGCGUAGAUAUUAGAAAGAACACCGGUGGCGAAAGCGCUCUACUGGACCAUUACUGACACUCAGAGGCGAAAGCUAGGGUAGCAAAAGGGAUUAGAUACCCCUGUAGUCCUAGCCGUAAACGAUGGAUACUAGAUGUUGUGCAUUAUGUACAGUAUCGUAGCUAACGCGUUAAGUAUCCCGCCUGGGGAGUACGCUCGCAAGGGUGAAACUCAAAGGAAUUGACGGGGGCCCGCACAAGCGGUGGAGCAUGUGGUUUAAUUCGAUGCAACGCGAAGAACCUUACCAGGGCUUGACAUACUACGAAUUUUCUUGAAAGAGAAAAGUGCCUUCGGGAAUGUAGAUACAGGUGGUGCAUGGCUGUCGUCAGCUCGUGUCGUGAGAUGUUGGGUUAAGUCCCGCAACGAGCGCAACCCUUAUUUUUAGUUACCAAUUCGUUGGGUUCUCUAGAAAGACUGCCGGUGACAAACCGGAGGAAGGUGAGGAUGACGUCAAGUCAGCAUGCCCCUUAUGUCCUGGGCUACACACGUGCUACAAUGGUUAAGACAAAGAGUUGCGAGCUUGUAAAAGUCAGCUAAUCUCGUAAACUUAGCCUAAGUUCAGAUUGUAGGCUGCAACUCGCCUACGUGAAG